GACGAACGCUGGCGGCGUGCUUAACACAUGCAAGUCGAACGGAAAGGCCCUGCUUUUGUGGGGUGCUCGAGUGGCGAACGGGUGAGUAACACGUGAGUAACCUGCCCUUGACUUUGGGAUAACUUCAGGAAACUGGGGCUAAUACCGGAUAGGAGCUCCUGCUGCAUGGUGGGGGUUGGAAAGUUUCGGCGGUUGGGGAUGGACUCGCGGCUUAUCAGCUUGUUGGUGGGGUAGUGGCUUACCAAGGCUUUGACGGGUAGCCGGCCUGAGAGGGUGACCGGCCACAUUGGGACUGAGAUACGGCCCAGACUCCUACGGGAGGCAGCAGUGGGGAAUAUUGCACAAUGGGCGGAAGCCUGAUGCAGCAACACCGCGUGCGGGAUGACGGCCUUCGGGUUGUAAACCGCUUUCGCCUGUGACGAAGCGUGAGUGACGGUAAUGGGUAAAGAAGCACCGGCUAACUACGUGCCAGCAGCCGCGGUGAUACGUAGGGUGCGAGCGUUGUCCGGAUUUAUUGGGCGUAAAGGGCUCGUAGGUGGUUGAUCGCGUCGGAAGUGUAAUCUUGGGGCUUAACCCUGAGCGUGCUUUCGAUACGGGUUGACUUGAGGAAGGUAGGGGAGAAUGGAAUUCCUGGUGGAGCGGUGGAAUGCGCAGAUAUCAGGAGGAACACCAGUGGCGAAGGCGGUUCUCUGGGCCUUUCCUGACGCUGAGGAGCGAAAGCGUGGGGAGCGAACAGGCUUAGAUACCCUGGUAGUCCACGCUGUAAACGGUGGGUACUAGGUGUGGGGUCCAUUCCACGGGUUCCGUGCCGUAGCUAACGCUUUAAGUACCCCGCCUGGGGAGUACGGCCGCAAGGCUAAAACUCAAAGGAAUUGACGGGGCCCCGCACAAGCGGCGGAGCAUGCGGAUUAAUUCGAUGCAACGCGUAGAACCUUACCUGGGUUUGACAUGGAUCGGGAGUGCUCAGAGAUGGGUGUGCCUCUUUUGGGGUCGGUUCACAGGUGGUGCAUGGCUGUCGUCAGCUCGUGUCGUGAGAUGUUGGGUUAAGUCCCGCAACGAGCGCAACCCUUGUUCACUGUUGCCAGCACGUUAUGGUGGGGACUCAGUGGAGACCGCCGGGGUCAACUCGGAGGAAGGUGGGGAUGACGUCAAGUCAUCAUGCCCCUUAUGUCCAGGGCUUCACGCAUGCUACAAUGGCUGGUACAGAGAGUGGCGAGCCUGUGAGGGUGAGCGAAUCUCGGGAAGCCGGUCUCAGUUCGGAUUGGGGUCUGCAACUCGACCUCAUGAAGUCGGAGUCGCUAGUAAUCGCAGAUCAGCAACGCUGCGGUGAAUACGUUCCCGGG
rnacentral:rRNA from 1 species